rnacentral:lncRNA from 1 species
GCCCUCAUGGUUGGUUUUGAUUUUGAUGGCACCCCUAGACUUUAUCAGGGUGACCCCUCAGGUAUACACCGUGCCUGCAGGGCCAGUGCUGCAGGCCGGGCACCAAGGCAGUGAGUGAGUGCCUGGAGAAGAAGUAAGGGAUGAAGCCAUGGAAAGGUGUGGCCUGACCCUUAGGCUGGUGAUGAAGGCGCUCUUGGAAGUGGGUGCCUCAGGUGGUAGAAACAUUGAAGUUGCUGUCACCAGGCGAGAUCAAUCCCUCAGGAAUUUAAAUCCUGAAGAAAUUGAGAAAUAUGAUGCUGAAAUUGAAAAAUAAAAAGAAUAAAACGAAAAGAAGAAAGAAAAGAAAGCAUCAUGA